rnacentral:rRNA from 1 species
ACGAACACCGGGCCAACGGGCUCGGUACGCCGUGGGGAGGGAGCGGUAAGAGGAAGUACGGGGGGUAAAGCGCGCGUAGGCGGUGUGUGAAGUCAGCUGGAAAAGCCCCGGGCUCAGCCAGGGAAGUGCAGUGGAGACUGGCCGACUGGAGUGCGAGAGAGGGAGGUAGAAUUCCAUGUGUAGCGGUGAAAUGCGUAGAUAUAUGGAGGAAUACCGGUGGCGAAGGCGGCCUCCUGGCUCGACACUGACGCUGAGGUGCGAAAGCGUGGGGAUCAAACAGGAUUAGAUACCCCAGUAGUC